GCACCCGUAGCUCAACUGGAUAGAGCGCUGGUCUUCGGAACCAGAGGCUGAAAGUUCAAAUCUUUCCGGGUGUACCA
rnacentral:tRNA from 1 species